UACGUAGGGGGGCUAGCGUUGUCCGGAUUUAUUGGGCGUAAAGAGCGUGUAGGCGGCCAGGUAGGUCUGCUGUGAAAACUCGAGGCUCAACCUCGAGACGUCGGCGGAAACCAUCUGGCUAGAGUCCGGAAGAGGAGAGUGGAAUUCCUGGUGUAGCGGUGAAAUGCGCAGAUAUCAGGAAGAACACCCGUGGCGAAGGCGGCUCUCUGGGCCAUUACUGACGCUGAGGAGCGAAAGCGUGGGGAGCGAACAGG
rnacentral:rRNA from 1 species